rnacentral:rRNA from 1 species
UACGUAGGGUGCAAGCGUUGUCCGGAAUUAUUGGGCGUAAAGAGCUCGUAGGCGGUCUGUCACGUCGGAUGUGAAAAUCCAGGGCUUAACCCUGGACCUGCAUUCGAUACGGGCAGACUAGAGUUCGGUAGGGGAGACUGGAAUUCCUGGUGUAGCGGUGAAAUGCGCAGAUAUCAGGAAGAACACCAAUGGCGAAGGCAGCUCUCUGGGACGGUACUGACGCUGAGACGCGAAAGCGUGGGGAGCGAACAGG